CAGCAUCAGUCCUUCCAAUGAACACCCAGGACUGAUUUCCUUUAGGAUGGACUGGUUGGAUCUCCUUGCAGUCCAAGGGACUCUCAAGAGUCUUCUCCAACACCAUAGUUCAAAAGUAUCAAUUUUCCGGCGCUCAGCUUUCAAUCAAAUCAUACUAUCAGAUCUAUACAUGACUCACUGGAAAA